CGGGACCCAUGCUCAUCUCAUCCUGUCAACCCAGCACAAUUGCAAUAUCUGGGGGUCCAGCCACCUAGAUUUCCAAGCGAGCUCUUCCUUCAGGGGAUGCAAAUUAAAACAGAAUUCGAAAGACUCCUCUGGCAGGUAGUGGGGGUUGCCUGGCACGGAAGUCUCCUGGUGUUUAUCAUCCGCUUCAGGCUGCGCAGAGAUGUGCUUGGGUCUUUGGGGUGAUGGAAAGAUGUUGUUGAGUUAGAUGGAGAAGUAAGGACACAAAGAAAACCUUCUCAGCAGUCUAGGGCACUCUAGGACUCAACAACUCCAUGACUAGAGAAAAAGCAGGCCUUCUUUCUUCCGGGGGCUGACAGCAGCUCCCUACCACCUUGCUGGAUGAAUCUCACAUGUGAACUUUGCUCAUGGGAGGAUCCGAUGUGGUUGGUCCUCACACUGAAUCUGAGCAUCCUCGUGAGAGACGUUGUUAGACCUGAUCAGUUCAUAGGCAGAGGCGGGCCUCUGCCCACCAUAGGGCUGCCCCUGGCUGAGUCCCCAACACCCGUCUGUUGGGUGGCAGUAGAGUCAGUGACUUCCCACUACACAGCACGAGCAGACUUGAUGCCCCUAGGACCGCACUCCUCAGAAGGAGGCCUGGGAACACAGUAAGCAGGUAGACACCGCGUGUGCGUGUUAUCUUUAGAGUCAAAUAUAAGUGAUUUACUUCCCUUUGAGUUAUCUGUGCCAUUGUUCCUCUCCACCGAGGGUGUUUUGUUUGAUUUCAUUUUACUUCAGUUUUGGUAAAGUGUUAUUCACCAUGCUUGGGUUUGUAGAAGCCAAUCAGAAAGAGUCUCGGCACACCGCUCUGGUUCCCUGAGUGCAGGCUCUGGGGACUUUCUGGAAAUGACUGUGCCAUAAUGCCAUGUUUGGAGGGAGGGUUUUCCCAGUGCCCCAGUGCCUUUUUCUUAACACCCGGGAGCCCUGAUGGGACGGGAGUGGAGACCGUGAGAGGCUCUCUGGGGCAGGCUUCCUGGGCUCUCCCGUGGGGUGUGCUUCCUCGACUUUGCACACCCUGCCUGGUCCCUGUGCACUUUCAAACCUGGUAGACUUGCUUUUUUUAACCAUUUUGGCGAGCUCUACCCGCGGGCUUUCACUGCGCGCGGCCGCCACCUGCUGGAACCAGCCUGGAACUGACUGCUGGGCCACAUCAGGCGGACACCUGGCCAGCACAGGAGGUGUGAGAGAACAGAUUGUCAAGUUCCUUCCGUGGCAUUCAUUCCAGAGGGAGCCUCUCCACUGGCCUUGACACACAGGAAUCUGGUUUUUAAUAGCCUUUUGGAGACUCAAAGUCUACCAAUGAUAACUCAUCUGAGAGUUUAAUCACCUUCUCUUAGAAAUAUUUUCCCUAUUUGUGAUCUCAAUGAUACUUCUGUUUAGGUGAAUGCCCUGCUCAUCUGUCUUGAUCGGGAAGAAACACAGCUGCUGUGAGUUCUCUGGGUAAAAGCUCAAUGAAUGUGCCUCACUUCUCUGGAAAGCUCCCAAGUUUUAUUUCCCCUUAAAUUGCCUUCCUUUAGCCUAUUUCUAAACUUAUUUAUCCUCUCUGUGGCUCUCCUCUGAAUGUUAUCAACUUCUCAACAAUUCUCCUUACCUGGGGAUACUCUUAGUAAGGAUCUGGCUUAAGCCGAGAACACGCUUCCAAUAUCGUGUACACCCUCCAGAUGACCACUCCUUUGACAAAAGUUUUCUGAGCACCUGCUGUGUGUGAGGCCCACAGAUUCCACCUGUCCAUCAGAAUCCCAGAGAGUGUUGAGAGGUGCAUUGGUCCAGCCUCCUCUUUUUAUUGAUGAAGAAGCUGAAGCCCAGAGAGAUUAAGGGGUAUGCCAACUCCAGCAGGCUGCUGCAUCCUCAGCGGUUUGGGAGAAGUUCCAGUACCAGGAGAGCCACUGGCUGAUCUGUAUAUGAGGAGACCAGCCUUUGAAGCUGAGUCUUGAUGGGAGUGGACUUGCUCCUUUCUCUCUGGCCUUUUCAUAAGCACAGAUACUAUCAGCCUUUCAUCAUACGCCUGUAUACUUUGUGUCUUGCUAAAUACUCUUUACAAGACUUGCAGAGGCUAUUUCAGUAGCUUCCUGGACAGACAAAAUGUUUUGUUUAGGCCCACCUUAUGUUCAGGGUGUCUGGGGCCUGUUGAAGUUGAUUGAAUUUGAGAGAGAAAAGAGACAAGGCGUCAGACAAAGAGAAAGAGAUAGUUAUAGAUCUGGCUCGAGAUCCUUCCACUUCCCUCCCCCACGUGCCUCUCUCUCUUCUCCUUCCUUACCCACUAGAGUUA
ensembl:lncRNA